rnacentral:rRNA from 1 species
UACGUAGGGUGCGAGCGUGUCCGGAAUUAUUGGGCGUAAAGAGCUUGUAGGUGGUUUGUCGCGUCUGCUGUGAAAAUCCGAGGCUCAACCUCGGACUUGCAGUGGGUACGGGCAGACUAGAGUGAUGUAGGGGAGACUGGAAUUCCUGGUGUAGCGGUGAAAUGCGCAGAUAUCAGGAGGAACACCGAUGGCGAAGGCAGGUCUCUGGGCAUUAACUGACGCUGAGGAGCAAAAGCAUGGGGGAGCGAACAGG